rnacentral:tRNA from 1 species
CAGGAGGUAGUUUAAUUAGAAUAUCAGCUUUGGGUGCUGAUGGCAGGGUAUGAGCCUUCCUCUUGA